AGAACGAACGCUGGCGGCAGGCUUAACACAUGCAAGUCGAACGCGUGUAGCAAUACACGAGUGGCGCACGGGUGAGUAACGCGUGGAUAUCUGCCUUUUGGUUCGGAAUAACCCCGGGAAACUGGGGCUAAUACCGGAUGGUUCCUACGGGAUAAAGAUUUAUCGCCAAAAGAUGAGUCCGCGUCCGAUUAGCUAGUUGGUGGGGUAAUGGCCUACCAAGGCGACGAUCGGUAGCUGGUCUGAGAGGACGAUCAGCCACACUGGGACUGAGACACGGCCCAGACUCCUACGGGAGGCAGCAGUGGGGAAUAUUGGACAAUGGGGGCAACCCUGAUCCAGCCAUGCCGCGUGAGUGAUGAAGGCCUUCGGGUUGUAAAGCUCGUUUUGGCGGGGACGAUGAUGACGGUACCCGCAGAAUAAGCCCCGGCUAACCUUCGCGCCAGCACGCCGAC
rnacentral:rRNA from 1 species